AUCCAUGACAGAAAUUGGCAGUAAAGAAGGAAAUUGAAACAGAAUUUGAAAAUGGCAGAGAAGAAGUUAGAAACAAAAUUAUUAGAAAUCUAACGUUGCAUAACAUUACUUGAACGAUGAUUGAUAGAAAAUGAUGGUUUUUGUCAAAUCUCCAAAGCAAUUUGUAAGACCCUAAAAAUUAUAGAGUAAAUUUUGUUGGUGAUAUUUCCUUUAGUGGUUGUUUUCAAUUCUUGCUUAAUAAUAAAUCAAGAACGAAAUUAUUAUUGUCCCNGCCCCGUGACUGUCGACCCCUGGUUAGUGGUGGGAGGUUACUCCCUCCACCUUCCCAUUUGUUCCCUCCACCUCCCCAUUUUUUCUACAUUUUUAUUUUAAUUACAAAUAUAACCUAUUGUUUUCCUUUUUUUAACUUUUAUAGUUUUUUAUUAUUUUACUUAUUUACCAAACCCUACUUUUACUCUGAUCCCUCCCCCCACAUUUCAGAUUUGAGAUCCACCUUUUAUUCUCUCGACCUCCGUCUCAUUUUCUCCCCCUGUCCCUUUUCUUCUUCACGCGUCACACUAGUUUUUCUCUGUUUGACUCUACUUUGCACUCAGUCAUGGUGGGGUGCGGUGGUGUGGUAAGGUGUGUGGCUGUUGUUAUUGUUCGUGGUGGUGUUUCGCUGCAGUGAGUGGUGCAUAUCUUCGUCUACCAGGUAUUAGUUUACUACUAUGUGCAUCUUGCUGGUUUCGCUGUUUGUUUGAUUCACUACUCUAUGCAUGCUUUGAUUCACAACUCUGUCCAUGCUUGCUGGUUUUUUAUUUUAAUUUAUUAGUGGAAUUUUUUUAAUUUAGUUAUUUAAUUAUUAUUUAUUUAAUUAUUUCAAUAGAAAAUUGUAGAUUGUGAUAAGAGAAAGAUAUGAUUCUGAUGGUGAAAAAAGAUUAU
rnacentral:lncRNA from 1 species